AUCUACACUUCAACUGACGGUGUAGCUUCUUAUAGAGCAGCCAACAGGAUCAGAGAAGGUCACACUCUGCAGAGACACUCCCACAUGCAGCUCUUCAUAUCUCUGGAAGCACAGCGACAGACACGUAUGACACUCUCAGUUUUAGAACAUGGACAUCAUCAAACACGGACGCCUCAGCUUUUUAAUAUCACUACUCUGGAUACAAGGUCUAAUUAAUGGGAGUGAUGUCACUCAGACGGACAUACUGUGGAAGAACAAGGCCGACAGUGCAACAAUGAACUGCAGCCACACCAAGGGUGCUGCCUACUUCCAGAUGUACUGGUACAGACAGCUGCCAGGAGAAACAAUGAAACUAAUCGUGUUCACAACAAUGGGAAACAACAAGCAUGAUUUUGGAGUUUUCAGCAAAGAGAAAUUCUCAGCCACCAAGCCUGACGCUGAGAGUGGGACAUUCACAGUGAACAAUCUGGAGCCUGGAGAUAAAGGCUUGUAUUUCUGUGCUGUCGUUCACUGAGCACUACAGUCCAUCAGGCUCCAUCAUCAAUUUUAGGAAGCCCUCGUGGUUCAGCAACCAUCAGUUGCAACCAUUCAGUCAGUUCGUACAAUGUAAUAUUGUGGUACCAGCAGCCGAUGGAUGACUCCGGCCUUAAACUCAUUGGUUAUAUUCAAUAUACUAACCCGGUCCUUGAGGAGCCAUUCAAACUGCAUUUCAGUGUGACCGGAGAUGGCUCAAAAAAAUCUCAACUUGAGGUACUGAAACUGAGACAGCCAGAAGA